rnacentral:lncRNA from 1 species
ACGAAUUUAUAAUUUUUUAACGUAAAAAAAAAAAUCGCUGUCGACUGGGUUUGAAUUUAAAGAAAAAAGAAAAAAAAACCAAGACCGAAUGACGCAUAAGGUUAAUAUUUUGUCGAGAAGGGCGACCGGAUGCGACGUUUGCGCAUUUUCGCCCACUGUUUCUCUAAUUUAGCGACUAUGUUAUAUUACUGAUGUCCUUAACAUUCUUAGGUCGAAAGAAUUACAACGUGGACACCUUAGGUCCAUCUAGAAGGGUCUAUUGACACCGCGGCCGUUACCGGAUGCGAGCAUAAAAUCGCCAAACUAAACAAGAGGGAUCUUGACCUAUUUUGGUCGCUCCUUAUAGUGUCGACCAUAAGUGACUUAUAAAGUUUAUCUCCAGGAAAGUGCCGCUUUAAUAGCAAUAUUUCUUGUGUAUAGAACUUCCUGUGUGGCGUCUGACUCAUUAAUAACUCGUUCUUCUCUCUCUGUUUCUCGGCUGCCAACGAUUUUUCUUUCGUUCGCGCGUCCAAUUUUAAAGUUCAAAGACGCGUAGACUGAGUUUAUUCGCAUUAAUCAAAUGGGAUUAAUUAAAAAAAUAAGGUUUCGUUAAGGCUUUCGGCCGAGAAAGAUUAUUUUGAAGGCCGAAAUCGGUUACACUUGUAAUAAUUUCCUGAAAUAUGAUACAAGGUCUGUGUCCCAAUAACAAUUUCGUGGCGAUCUUAAGCGCUUACGUAAAAAAUUCCUUCGUGAUCGUGCAUUUUUCCAAGGACCGAAAUAUGCUUUUCAAAUGCGUAGGUGUAAACUCGGAGUUGAUAACUGAUGGUAAUCUUAUCGCUCGUCGCGUCGCUUCCAUCGCGUACAGAUCGGCUGUAUAUACGAGAAAUCGCAUUCGACGUUCGCUUCUCCGACUGAACAAAAAAACGAACUUCGCUCUCUCUUCCAAGAUAAAAAGAAAAUUCUAUUAAUAAGACGAGGCUCAAAGUAUUCGUCGAAUUUAGGUUAGACUCGUUUUAGACGUAAUUUUCUUCUCUCGAAAAUUGGAAUGCUGAUUUCUGCUUCUGUACCGUUUGUACCCAUUUGUAUUUAGAAUAGGUAUCCUCUGCUUUAACCUUUAACAUCUGGGCUAUGGAAUGCUGGCAGACUCGUCUCGAUGGUGGCCGGAAUGUCACUCGAGUAGGUUUGUAAGAAUUUAGUCGAAACAAGGUUGUUGGUG